AAUUAAAUACAAAUAUGUAUGUUGCAUUGUGUAUUCUUGCGGUUGCCUUGUUUGGAUGUGUCAGCGGGAAUCAGAGGCACAAAAUUGUCGCCUACUGGGGCCAAAACGCUGUUUACAAUGAGUUAAAAGAAAGGCAAUAUUGGGAAAAAGAGCUCGUCGAUUUUUGCAAGGACUACAACUAUGACAUUAUUGCUUUGUCGUUUCUCAAUAAUUU
rnacentral:lncRNA from 1 species